UAACGAUUCAUCUCUCUCCCAUCUGCAAUACAUUGGAAACAAAACAUCAAGUUCAAACGACAAGCUUUUACUUCUACAAAGACGCUCUCUCUUCCAACUUUUUUUUGUUUAUUUGAUUUCACAUCUCACUUCCUACUUUUGGUUAUCAAAGACUUUUCAUUACUUCAAUCACAUAAGCUCCUAUGUUUCUUAUUCUCAUCUCAUAAUACCUCUCCAAUUCCUAAUUUUGCAGAUAAAAUCCACUCUGAAAUCAAUGAUUUAAUGAGUAGCUGCGGAUUCAAAAGUUUUGAGGGUGGACUUUGUGAUGAUUUGUUGUUCAACAAUUAUCGAUAUAGAGUCGAAAUGUCAGUUCAUCUCCAUUCUCCAAUUGUCAAGGCGACAGAUUAACUACGCCCAUAGUGGAAAGUAAAAAAAAAACCCCCAAAUCGACAGCGGAACUUAUCUUGCAGAUCGACGGCGGCACCACUUCCCCGGAAUCUACAAUAGAACACCAAAAAGACAACUUCAAAGUCCGAUGAUGUGUACUCAAGCUUACUAUGAAAGCCAAAUUUUCAUCAACUAUAAAUUUUGCAGCUUUAACGGUUGAUGGUAAGGAGAACACAGAACAAGUCCAAUGCAGUGCCAGUGAUAUUGAAGAGGCAAUAUCUUUAUUAAAGUGAUAUUUCAUAAAUUGCAGCUUUAACG